rnacentral:rRNA from 1 species
UACGUAGGGGGCUAGCGUUGCUCGGAAUUACUGGGCGUAAAGCGUGCGCAGGCGGCUUUGCAAGACAGAUGUGAAAUCCCCGGGCUCAACCUGGGAACUGCAUUUGUGACUGCAAGGCUAGAGUACGGCAGAGGGGGAUGGAAUUCCGCGUGUAGCAGUGAAAUGCGUAGAUAUGCGGAGGAACACCAAUGGCGAAGGCAAUCCCCUGGGCCUGUACUGACGCUCAUGCACGAAAGCGUGGGGAGCAAACAGG